rnacentral:rRNA from 1 species
UACGUAGGGGGCAAGCGUUGUCCGGAAUCAUUGGGCGUAAAGAGCGUGUAGGCGGCUUGGUAAGUCUCGCGUGAAAUCUUGCGGCUCAACCGCAAGCUGUCGUGAGAAACUACCUGGCUAGAGUGUGGUAGGGGAGAUCGGAAUUCCUGGUGUAGCGGUGAAAUGCGCAGAUAUCAGGAGGAACACCGGUGGCGAAGGCGGAUCUCUGGGCCAUUACUGACGCUGAGGAGCGAAAGCGUGGGGAGCGAACAGG